AACAUCUAAAGUUUGUUUAUAUUAUUAUAGCUCAUAUCUACUUUUUAUGUUAUCUUCCCAGCUUGUAUCACAUCAUUUUCGUACUUUAAAAUGUUGGAAAAUCAAUUUGAGAAGUAUGACUAAUAAUUUUACUUGCCUCUAAUAUAAUAUUUGAUUUUGACUGUCGUUUCACUAAACAUUUCAAAUCAUUAAAGCAAGUACCUUUCGAGACCAUUAUUAACGGUUUUGAUUCAUUAGAAGGAAAUAUCAGGAGAAGACUCUAAAUUGGUAUCUAUAAUCUAUGUAUCGGAAAAACAGAAGUGCAUUACUGCAUCGUAUUCAAAAUGUCAUGUAAGUUAAUAUCCAAGAGGGGAUAAGGUGAAUUUGGGUCAUAGGUCAUAAGAACUUUUAAGCCCAUUAUUGGAUAGUGUCCCCAAUAAUCAUAACCGAUGGGUCCAUGCACGUUGCAAACACACGCUUCACCCACUACCACAACCACAGCCACAACGAGAACCCGUAAAGUAGCAACUCUUUCCCUUAGAAAAGAAAUAGAUAAUACAUGUCUAUUAGUUGAUUUCCUCUCAUGCAUGAUCCAGUUUCAGGCUAUUUAGGGGUUUUGUUGUUGGAUUCCACUCAAGUUAUCUAUUUGAAUCACAAAUUUUCAAGGUUUUAUAUAAAUUAAUCCCACAUUAGAAAAUGACAUAAUCUUAUUAUUAUUAAACAAUACACAUGAGCUAAUUCAUUCAUUAAUUUAUUUAUUUUUGAUCAAAUUUAUUCAUUACAUACCAACAAAUUUUUAUAAAUUAAAAUGAAAUCUCAUAAGCGUGAAAUUAUGCUAUGAGUUAUGCUGAUUAGGAUCUUGGCCCAACAUAAAACAACAAUUACUAAAGAGCACAUAUGAUACAAUACAUAUAAGUUUAUACUCCCUCCGUCGUUUUAAGGUUUUAAUCUCGUUUCACAAAGAAUGUCGUUUUGUGUUUUCAAUGCAUGUUUAAAUACUAAUUCUCUUUUUUGUCCCUACUAUUUUAGCUUAUUAAUUAGAGAGAGAGCAUUAUUUAGUGUAUUAAUAAGGGGUAGAAAUAAAAUUUGUUUACUUUUCUUAAUUUGUGUGAAAAAUGGUAGAAUGACACUCUUUGUGAAACAGAUGGAGUAUAGAUGGAGUAUAUGAUUGAUAGUGAAAUCAAAUAGAUUCAUCCUAUUGAGAAGUGUGACAAUGCAUCAUACCAAAAAAUGAUAUAGCUGGUUUUGGUAAUGAGAAGCUUUCUAGAAACGUGGGGAAGAGUGUAGAAGAGUAAAUUGUUUUUUUUUUUCCUUAAAGAAUAAAUAGUUUAAGGAUGGAAUGUUUCGAUGACUCCAUGACAAAAUCCUUGCUUUUUUGCCAGGGUAAUUAGUGCCCUUUUAUUAUUAUGGUUGACAAUAAUAAAGGAUAAAUAAUACGGAAUAUGUUGAAAAAGAAAUGGAAUAUAAUACGAAGAAGAAAGGUAGAUAAACUUUUGUUAGAAACCAAAGAAGGUGGGGAACAAAAUUAAGACCACAAAGUGAAAAAUUUAGAGUUGUAAAGAUGUAGUGAUGUACAUCGUAAUAGCUAGCUAUAGGCACUGAGGCACAUAUAUAGGGUAAAAUAAUGUUAUAAUUAAAAGGAAAAACUAGUUCACUAAAAUAAAGGGGAGGUUAAGAAUUUUAGUUAGACACAUUCCAUUGCAUCCAUUGAAUUAUGUAACGAGGAAUUUGGUAAAUGGUUAUCGAUGACGAUAAUGUUUGUUGCUUCUUCUUCGAAAUAUCAGUGGCAAAAACACAACGCCGUUAAAUUAUGGACUAAUAUUAAAGUUGAAUUAAAUACCAAACUCAUAAAUGGGAAAAGCUUUAAGCUUUAAAGAGUUUGUCGUGGGCCAAUGGAAUGUUGGGAAGAGCUUUUGGGCUGUCUACUUAGUGCGAUCAAUUGGAGGAAGAAGACGAUCGAAGAAGAUGAAGAUGACGAUAAUAAGAAGGAACAUUUUCUUUUCUUUUUUUCUUUCAAAAAGAAUGUUUUCUAAAUUGGGUUGUCAAGAUAAUAUUAUUCCCUUUUAUUGUUGAAUCGUGGUGUGUGUUGCAGUCAUAGAUUCUUAGUAAUGAAUGAAUAUACUAUAGGUUUGGUGGUUAUUGUGGAUUUGUGUGUGCGUAUGAGUGGGUAUAAAAGAUAAGGGUCUUUUUUUUUCGGUGUCCCCAUGAAGAGAUUUGUGUCUAUGUAAGAACCAACUUUUCCUCCUUUUUAUUCACCAGACAUCACCCACCCCUUCAUCAUUGUGCACAUUUACGUUUUUAUAUAUGUAUGUAUGACUGUGUAUACACAUAAUGCAUGUACCAAGUAUGUAUAGGGUUAUCAUUGUGAAUCUAAGUCCGUCCCACACUAGGACGAAAAUGAGUUAAAACUGAUCUGCAAUCCGGUUGAGCUGGUUGAUUUUAUUAAGACUAAUAUUUUCUUGAUUCUAGGGUAUAACAAAGAAAGAUAUGAGGUGUUGAACCAAAUUUUCAGAAAAAUUGUAGUGCUAAUGAUGUGUCACACACAAUAUGGAUUCGUUUAAAUUAUUGAAUAAAGUGUGGGUUAAUGGCCCGGCCCAGUUAGCCCAUACUAGAGCCCAUCUCUUUUAAAUACAAUGUGUGUUAGAAGCCUUUCUCAUGUCAUGUGGAAGAGAGAAGACAAAACAAACACAACACUGAGCCGUUUUGCUGGAAAUGACUAUUGCGAGAUUUUUUUCCCUUUUCGAUCCCGUCUCAAUGAAUGAUGUUGCACUAUGAUAAAUCGCCAAAAAUUCCAAUAUUACCAAAUAUAAUAAUAUGCCAAAAAGAUUAAAAAAAAAAAAGUUGCCUGUCUAUAUCACAGAAAAAAUAAUUUAAUAACUUAUCGUUACAAGCCAAUUAAUAAUAAUCUGCACUGAAAAGUUGGCAUUUCGAGGAGAAGAAGAGAGAGUGAUGGAAUUGCAAGGAGUGGAAAGCAAAGCGACGACGUAUUGCGUGACGGGUGCAAGUGGAUACAUAGGUUCUUGGUUGGUUAAGUCUCUUCUCGAAGGAGGCUACACAGUCCAUGCCACUCUCAGAGAUCUUGGUAUUUUUUUUUGUUUUCAAACUUUGUCCGUGUCUUGUUUAUAUCGAAUCCUGGGUAGUUUACACAAUCUUUUAAAACACAUGUGAAUUAAUUGGUUAUUUUGACUAAAACUUGGACUGUUUUUUUUUGUAAUUUGAAGUCUUCAUAGUUAAACUAAAAAGCUUUUUAUUCGUCUUGACAGGAAAAUCUCAAUACUUUCAAUCUAAAUGGAAGGAAAAUGAACGGCUUAGAUUAUUCCAAGCGGAUCUUCAAGAUGACGGCAGCUUCGAUGAGGCCUUUAAGGGCUGCGACGGCGUCUUCCAUGUCGCCGCUUCCAUGGAGUUUGAUAUCUCAUCAGAUCACGUCAAUCUCGGUACGACCUUUUUGUUGCACCGAUCAUUUUUCUGUUUUUUGGCACAUUGCCUAAACCGCUCUCAACCCGUAAGUAUUGGAAGCUAACCGAUAAAAACCGGGUUUUGUUGGAUUGAAUGGGCAGAGAGUUAUGUCCAGAGCAAAGUCAUAGAUCCGGCGGUAAAAGGCGUACGGAAUGUUCUUGGUUCUUGUCUUAAGUCAAAGUCAGUCAAAAGAGUUGUCUUCACAUCAUCCAUCAGCACUCUCACUGCCAAAGAUGAUAAUGAACGGAUGACAUCUUUCGUGGAUGAAACUUGCAAGGCUCAUGUUGAUCAUGUCAUUAAAACACAAGCAAGUGGAUGGGUAAAAUACUAUUACAAUAGUAUAGUUAGGUUAAAAUGCCUUGCAAUCUCAUUGUGCGGCAUCGUUAACAAGUUUAAAUUUCGUGUGUGCGAUAGAUUUAUGUACUAUCGAAGCUCGUAUCAGAGGAAGAAGCAUUUAGAUAUGCAAAAGAGAGAGGAAUGGAUCUUGUUUCAGUCAUUACAACUACUGUUUCAGGUCCAUUUCUUACUCCUAAUGUCCCAUCAAGCGUUCAAGUUCUCUUAUCCCCAAUAACAGGUCCAUUUAUAACACAAACAUUUUCCAUUGUGAUAUAUAAGUUAAAAAUGUUGGGCUUAAUCAACCAGUUUGAUGCUUACAUUAUGACAAAACAGGUGACUCAAAGUUGUUUCCAAUAUUAUCAGCUGUGAACAAAAGAAUGGGUUCGAUUGCUUUGGUACACAUUGAAGAUAUUUGCAGAGCGCAUCUGUUUUUGAUGGAACAGACAAAGGCUAAAGGUCAAUAUAUAUGUUGUGUUGACAAUAUUGAUAUGCAUGAAUUGAUGCUUCAUCACUUUUCUAAGAAGUAUCUUUGUAAAGUUCUAAAGUAAGUUCUACAAUCUUUAGUGUUUUUAUCAAUUCUUUCUUUGAUUUAUUCAGACUAUAGAUUUUUUUAAAUUAUUAUUCUUGGUUUGUAGGGUAAAUGAAGACGACAAAGACAGACAAUGUAUGAAGCCUAUAAUUUCUUCAAAGAAGUUAAGAGAAUUGGGUUUUGAGUACAAAUAUGGUAUUGAAGAAAUUGUUGAUCAGACAAUUGAUGCUUCUAUCAAGUUUAAGUUCCCUACCAUGAACCACAAACUAAAGCACUAAGAUCAACAGCGAUUAUCUUCUUUGUUUUACUGGAUUGGACUAUUAUGAUUCUUAGAAUCUAUUUAUAAAGUGUUUUCAAUCCCAUUUUUUUUUGUUUUUAAUGGUCACUGUUCACUCUGUCAUCUUAAUAUGUUUGAACAUUUAAAAUGAUGGAUCCUACUAGCUCAGAGUCGAAGUUCUAAUUGUGUUCUAAGUACUUCUAGUUUUGUCGUCACUUUUGAUGCAAGCUUUGUCUCAGUGCAUUUGCAAAUAGGUAUGGACCAUUUAGCUUUUCAAAUAAUAUGCUAGCUACGAUUUAUGUUCUUUUUGUUCUCUUGUUCGCUCAUCGUUUCAAUAAGAAACAAAAGCACGACCAUAGACAUGUUUGAUGUAAGCAGAAUUUAAUCUUUUCUUUUUAUGAUUCAAAUUUGAUUUUUUAGUUUAGCUCAAGCCGCUAAUUAAUUGUGGGAAACAAAAGUUCACCAAUUCCAUUUUCAUUUACUAGAGUUCAUUACCCUGCGCAAAGUUUCUUACACGAUGAAGGCAUAAAAAGGGCAUUAAAAAAUGAUCAAUUUAUCUCUUCUUUGAGACUUACUAUUUGUUUACCAGUUAUUGUCUGGAAUUUGGCAUUUACCAAUAUUCUCCACCCGUGAAACAAAGCCUCUAUCUGACGCUCUUCAACCUCCAUUCCUUUAUUUCGUGCAACAACCCCAUUAUUCCCUCUUCACAUGAACCCAUAACAUCAAUUAUUACACCACGAACAAAAACAUUUCGUCUUUUUUCAACUUAGAGGAUCAGUCUCAACACAAUAUGAAUAAAAGCCUUACUUUUUGAGCUUGAGGUUACAACUUACAAGUAAACAAAUGUUUUGCUACAAAUCUAAAGACUUUUCACAUCACUUGGUUUCAAGAAGAAAUGCACAUGAAUUUACCAAACCAAAAGUUAGUCAAAUCUUUUAUGUAUGCAAAUAGAAACUUGAACUCAAGUAACAAGAAAACCUGAAAAUGAUGCAAGCCAAAAAUAUACUAGCUUCUUUAUUUAAAACGUUGUUCAAAAGAGUGUAAAUGAUACUAGCAAAAAGUUUUCAAUCAUUUUGUUAGAAGUUUUGCUUAAAAACAUUUCUUUCUGAAAGCUACGAUUACCAAAAUACCAAAUUUGCGUUUUCGAAACUCUCUAGUUAACACAACUUAUCAACCAAAACUUGCCAUUUCUUUCAUCGAAAGUUUGGUUCAACGUUUGCAAAUCAGCACAAAACAAGGAAGCAACGCUCGAGAAUUGAGCAAAUAAAGCUCCUCAACAUUUGUGUACAACCCAACUUUACCGGCCAAAGAAUCAAACCCAUUCAAUAACCCACCCAUCUCCUCUAAAUUCUCCACCGGCCGAUGAACCCUCCCGGCAAUCACCCGACACACUAUCAACGCCUUCCGAUCACUACCACCACCGUCGUCAAUCACAAUUGACUCAAACGCCCUCUCACUCGUCGACGCAGUAAAAACCCCAAUUCCGUUAUUCAUCUCCCGUUUCGCCGAGAACCCAUUUCGUAUAAUCCGACAAACGCAGCAUUUUUCCGACGAACACAAACUCGUCGACCCGUUUAUCCCUAAAGCGCAAGCGACGGUGGUGCCGUGAAACCUGAGAAGCUCGUUUCCGUCGGCGAUACAUCUCGGGUGCUUCUUUUGUAGCUUGCUUGCUCUGAUCUUCACCGUAUCUCUGUAUUCCUCGAAUCUUGCUAAGGUUUUUUGCAUGUUGUGCACUUUCAAGAUCCGGUCGAUUCUCCCGCCUUGAUUCUCUGUCUUUAACCAGCUUGUUCUGCAGAUUAUCUCCACAAUUUUCCUCGAUGAGUCUCCUUCCAUGAGCUCAGUCACUGAAUAAAUUUGGGUUAAAAUGAAUCUCUGUAACCUAAUUGUGAAAUUCGAAGAUGAAAUUUACGAACUUUGGGAACACCUUUGCUAUAAAAGUAUGAAAUUCGAAGAUGAAGUUUGGGGAAAUUUUUGCAAUGAGAUUGAUUAUUUACCGGCGUGUUUGGUGAGAUGAUGAGCUUCUGCAGCUUCGAGUUUGCUAAAUUUCUCGCCGCAUUUAUGGCAAGAAACAGAGGAAUUGUCUCCAUUAAUGGCGGAAUCUCUAUCUCUCUCUCUUCUGCUUUGGUGAAACCCUAAUCCUUCUUUGUCUAAAGAAGAAGCCUUUCUCGACGCUUGGCUCCGGCGUGAAGAAGAGUAAUUCACUGGCGUCCCUGGCGUCAGUGUCCCCACGAAUUCAGUUGCUCCGGCGGCGGUGAUCUUGAGCUCGCAGGUGGAGUUGCUAAAGAUUACAUCGUGAGUAAUGGGAUUGAGAAACUCGCUGCUUCCAAUAGAACGAGGGCUAGAGCAAAGCGGCUUCUCCAAAUGCCGUUGGUUUCCAUGGAUUACGUCUUUGAGAUUGGCUAUGGAUCUGGAACAACCGGACCGGCCACCGACUCCUCCUCCGGAGGUGGUUGUUGUUCUCUUAGUGGAUAUGGGAGUGAGCUCUUUUCUGGAUCUCGGAAUGUGGACAUCGGAGACAUCAGAUUUGCAGGGGAGAGAUUUCUUCAAUGAAAACCAAACACUGGGUAGCUUUUUGAUCUUCUGAAUAUCGGUAUUUUCUCUCUGAAUCGUCUUCUUCUUUUUCUUCUCGCUUCUUGUGCUUGAAGCUUCCAUUUUUUCUCUUCUGUUUUGUCUUCUAAAGACAAUGGAGAACGAAAGAAGCAAAAAAAAAGUGACCUAAGAAGCAAAAAUUGAAAUGAAUGGUAGAGAGUUUCUAUUUUUUGAAUUGGAGAAGCUUCUUCUUCUGGCAAUUUUCUAGGGAGAGAUAGUAAAGGAAGGAAAAUAAAUUAUUAUUAGAGUUUUUGUCGUCAGAACUCUGAAGCUAAGACGAUACAUAAAAUUUUGUCCCAAAAAAAAAAAAAAUACAUAAAAUUUAAAAUUAGGGAUUAUGACAGGAAAAUACUCCCAAAAAUGUAUUUUAGACUCCCAAUAAUGUUUGUUUUUUCAUCAUUGUUGAAUUCAUAUGUAUUUGGAGACAUGCGUUGAAUGCUUCAAGAUUGUGUGGUAAAAACGUUUAACCAUUCUAAUAUAUAAUUCCUAGACGUAAAAAAAAAAAAAAAAAAAAAGACAUGGGUUGAUGGUAAUAUUAAAAGUCUUGAAUAUGGACAGCACAACGCAAAGUACAAACCAAGCGGAAUAAAUGUGGUUUAACGUAAAAUGGAUGGAACAAAUAGUGUGAAACCGAUAUAAAGAAAUUUGAAUGGAGUUCGUAUUUACUUCUAAUAAAUUUUCUUUUAUGUUGUUUGAUACGUCAAGACUCAAGACAACAGUUAUCGUACUUAGGUAACUUAGAUAUCUAUGGUACUAUUUGACUCACGAGGCCACAGUAGAUUUGGUUGUCUUCAGACUAAAAAUACAAGUAUGUACAAUCUCACAUUUCCCAAAUCUAAUGCUUCCAAUAUGUUUGCAUAGUUUUGCUGUUUGAAUUGUAUUUAAACUUGUUUGUAUUUAAAUAGUUUAAAUACAAAAAAGUAUUUAAACUAUUUAAAUUUUCAUAUACUGUUGGACAACGAUACUUCCACAAUAUGUGUUUGUCCUUCGAACAACCAUUCGAGUCAAGAAACAAAAAAAAGAUUGGAAGUAUUGAUUUGUCAAGACCAACGAAUACAAAAAUGAAAUUUAACUUUUGGAGUUGCAGAACGUAUUAUUGUCAUUUUUUUCAGAAGAUCUCAUUUCCACAAUAAUCUAAAAAGCUGUAUGUUUUCAUAAAUUUCCAAUUACUUUUUCAUUUUCUUUCGUAACACGAAUAAUGACUAUGUUGAAGCAUUAAAGACAUUUCGACAUCCUACACUAAAGAACAAUUCAAGUGUUGUGAUCCACCGAUCUUUUGUAUGAAAGGUUGGUAACAUCAUAACCAUCCCACCAUGUCCAUGACACGCACUUUUCAAAUGUCUCUAGUGGGUUUACUUUCUUUGUUAUCCAUCUUCGGAAAAAUUAGCUUGAUUUUGAAACUUUAUUGACAAUUGUAGUUCUUUUGUCGUAUACUCGUUGUAUAAAUUAUUCACAACUCUUUUUUCUCCCAAAGCUUGAUUUCUUACUAAAUGAAAAGAUCUGUGGGAUUUUCAGCCACCACAACAUGUCAUACAACUUUCAACUGUUACUAUCCAAAUUUAAUAGACUUGAGCAAAUUAACCAAACCGAAUGUACAUAAUCAAAAUCGAAAAAAAAAACCAAACCGAAUCGAACCGAAAAUUUGAAAACACUGAAUGGAUCCUAAAUUUUAGAACCGGAACCGAACCGAUGAAAUAUUUCGAAUAUUCGAAAAUACCUGAAAUAUAAUUAUAUAUCCAAAAUAUUAGUUAUUUAUAAACCGAACCGGAAUCGGACACCCGAACGCCUAGGACUAAAAUUUAAACCCACAUAGUAGGAUUAGGACGUUCUAAACAAGCUACUGUACAACACACUAUAACUUCUUUGGGUUUUUGAUAAAUAAGAAAAAUAUAAACAAGAAAAUUACAUUUGGGCCGAAUAAUGUUCAAAUAAAAAGGAGGGCUUAUAUAGUUAUAUAUAUAACAAGCCCAACUUGGGCCAUAUAUCCAUUUAAAUUGCCGGAGAAAAAAAAAAAUGACAAAGUGGUGGGAGCACGAGACUGAAAUCAUGUCCGUUAAAGAUAAAACAAUCUAACGGUGCAGAUUAUUGAUCCAUGCAGUGUCAUAUCAUUGGUGAGAAAUACUUUCUUCCCCACUAUAUUAAUCAUCAUGGCGGGUUUUGCUGAAAUUCAUUAUUGCUUUUUUUUUUUUUUGUGACAGAAAAUUCUCAGUUACGCUUCGUCCAUACUUAUUUUUCUUGGGUAGUAGAAAUGGCGGGUCGGGGAAAACAACUUGGAUCUGGUGCGGCGAAGAAGUCUACUUCUCGUAGUAGCAAGGCUGGGCUUCAAUUCCCUGUGGGUCGUAUCGCUCGAUUUUUGAAAGCCGGUAAGUACGCCGAGCGUGUUGGUGCCGGAGCUCCGGUCUAUCUCGCCGCCGUUCUUGAAUACCUCGCCGCUGAGGUAAUCAUUCUCAUAUAUAGAUCGCCUGUUUAAUUUUUGCCGAAAGGGAUGGUUUUGGCUUGCAUCUCUCGCAUCUAGUGUUCUGGAUUUUAGAUUUUAAUGACCCCUUUGGUUGAUUUUGUGCGAAAUUGGAAAUAUUUUAGAAUGCAUUGGUUUCUUUACUUUUUUUUUGAGGAAAAUUGCCAUUUUGUGUGUGGUUUGAGUCUCAAAUUUUGCUUCUUGUGCUGAUCGAAAUUAGGGUUAGAUUUUGUUCUUUACCAAUUUGAGUUACCAUAAUCAAGAGGUUUUGUUGUUCACUUAGUUUUUGCUUUGGAUAUGUAAACAUGUGUUCAUGGGAACUGAAUUUCUAUAGGUUCUUGAGCUCGCUGGGAACGCAGCAAGAGAUAACAAGAAGACCCGUAUUGUUCCUCGACACAUUCAACUUGCUGUGAGGAACGAUGAGGAACUAAGCAAGCUACUUGGAGAUGUGACUAUUGCUAAUGGAGGAGUGAUGCCUAACAUCCAUAAUCUCCUUCUCCCCAAGAAGUCUGGUCCCUCUAAGCCUACUGAGGAAGAUUAGGGAAAGCUGGAAAAUGGUUGAUAUCAGAUAAUGCUUAGGACUGUUUUUGUUUUUUUUUUUUUUAUUUGCUUUUCCUCUGCAGUAAUGGCAGCUGUGUGGUUGUACUAGUUGUUAAGGAUAACUUUGUUUCACUUUGUGUGAAUAGAUGAAGAAUAUUGUUCUCUAUUUGCUUAACUGUUCCAUGGAAUAGAAUGGCCAAUUCAUGACAGAAAUCAAGUUUUACCGUAAUGUUUUAUGUUGACGAGCUCUUCUUUCCUAGAGCCAAUGAGCAAAUCUUUUAAAUUUACUUGAUAAAAGGAAAUAACAAGUGCAAUAAAAAUGACACUCACGUUUUCUAAGUAUCAGUGGCUAAGAGGAAUCACACAGCUCAAACUUUUUUACAAUUUGAAUUCUCUGCAGGUUCAUGAUUUACAUUGUCCCUCCAGAAGGUCCUCAGCCAUGGGAUCUUCUAUUUGAAUUGAAACUGCAGAAGCCUCUGCUCUCUCUAUUGGAUUUAAGCUGCAGCUCCAUUGACAGGAGAUUGCAAGUGAGGCAACUAUUAUGCAUCUGUAAGUCCAUGAUUACAUUGUAGCUAGAAAAGCUCCUCAGCAAUGUGAUUAUGAUCUAUUAGAAACUGGAGAAGCUUCUAAUCUCUCUUAAUAUUUGUGGGAGAUCUGCUCACAAUAGACUCAAAGAGAGCCAGUUAGUAUAUUUCCAUCAGCUGGUACAAAACGAGGUUGAAGGGUUUCUCUUGUAGUGUUAUCAUCCCAAGAUAAAUUGUUCCACCAGUGUCUUUCUCCUCUUACUUCUUUGACUUUAUGAGCUUUACUUGAGCUAAUGGGUAGAUUCUUGAGAAGAUUGCAUCUUAUCACUUCCACAUGUUCUAAAGAUCCCCAGGACCCUUUUUGGCUACAUAAUCUGUUUAACCGCGGGAGAUUCGUCAGCUUUAUGAUACGCAGAGCAGGCACCAAGGGUUCAGUGGAGGCUGAAAAUUCUCCUGGAGAAUAGUCGAACAGCUCCUGAAGCUUUUCACAAAAGCUAACGUGUAUCUCUUGUAGGUUCGGCAGGAAACAGAUUAAGUUCCCUAACGAGAGAAGGCAUUUAAGCCGGCUACAUCUGCUGACUUCUAGAUGUUUCAGUGUCUGAAAUCUCAACCCCAGAUGACCCACGAGCUCACUAAUGGUUUCCAGAUUUACACGACGCAGAUGAAGUUCUUCGAGGUUAGGUAGAAGAUCCAGCUGCGCGACACAUCCACCAGCGGGCCUUAUACUUCCACCAAAACUAUCUACCGUUAGAGACCUCAAAACGUUGAAGCUACUUGUGCUAUCAAUUACCAAGUUUUCCAGCAUCUCGUUGAGACCCCAGCAAUGGUUCAUUACUAGGGAAGUUGUGUUCACUAGCAACCACCCAAUGAAUGCCUCUGAAACAUUGAGACUACUUAUUGUCACUCUCCUCUUGUCAUGUCUACUAGGUAAGGAGUUUGCAGUUGGGCCAAUAAACAACUGGAAUUUCUUUAACUUUUCUAUCCAAGAAUUGUAUUCAGGGGAAAGAGGUGGAACACAUACAACCCUGAUGGAGAGAACCAAUAAACAAUGGAGACACGCAAUGUCUUCAAGUGUUGCUUGCCCUUCUUGAGUUUGUCCUUGGACGCCCCAGUGGAAAUGACUAAGCGUCAUGUCUAGAACCUCUAAACUCGAUAAAUGUUGGAUGAUUCCAGCUGGAAUGCUUUCGAGGUGAUGUGUUCGGGAGAGGUCAAGUAGUCUCAAGCUGUUCAAAGUUUCCAACCCUGUUGGCAAUUCCUUUAUACGAGUGGCACAGAGAUCCAGAACUUGAAUUUUUGUAAGCUUUUCGAGGGAAGGAACUUCUUCGAGGUAGUAGCAGUCUCUCAAGAUGAGAGAUCGAAGCUCAUGAAGCUCGCUGAGGGAUAGAGGCAAUGAACUUAUGCGUGUCCCACUUAAAUUCAGAAUCCGAAGUGCUGGAAAAGAUAGCAAGAACCCCACAGGUAAUGCCUCAAGGUGAAAAUUUCCUUGUAGCAGUAAAGCCGAGAGUUCAACACACUCUACCACCUGAUCGGGGAGCUUUUUAAGCUUAUUGUUCAUCAAAGAAACUCUUCGGAUAGAAGGAAAAUACUUCUCCAAUGGAAACUCGCGCAAGCCUAUGCCAGACAUGACAAGAGAGUGACUAUCAUCUUGCGAGGAAGACAUGACCCAUAUGGCAAAUCUCUAUAAUUAAAUGAAUGAUCAAAAAUAUCCUCCAGACAUGACAAGAGAGUGACUAUCAUCUUGCGAGGAAGACAUGACCCAUAUGGCAAAUCUCUAUAAUUAAAUGAAUGAUCAAAAAUAUCCUCCAGACAUGACAAGAGAGUGACUAUCAUCUUGCGAGGAAGACAUGACCCAUAUGGCAAAUCUCUAUAAUGGUCUCUAUAAUUAAAUAACAAGACAUUGAUGUUGAUAGCUUGAGAUUCGUUCGGGCAAUGAUGAGUUGGCUUUUGAAGUUUCUUUGAAACUUGCCUUGAAGACUCUUUCUCCAUUUUCAGCUACUAGUAAGUCUUCUGGUAUAUUCGUUGAAACUUUCUACUUUAAAUAUUUCAGAACUCUGUUAGGGUCGACUAAUGGUUCCGGUUAGGACAUAUUUCAAUUGUCUUCCUUCAAAUGCUAUUUUUGUGAGGAAUCCCAUGUAACAUAAAAAUUAGACUGAUAUAUAGCAAAUUUGAUGGAGUAAGAAAAACAAAGAACUAAGUACUUACACGUGAGCAUGGAGGCACUUCAUGAUAGGUAGCAAUGACGAUUUGCAGCCUAUUUCUACAUUUCCCGCAUCAUUGCUCAACUAGAAAACUUUCUGAAGUCUGUUGUGGCCUCAGAAAUUUCCACGGCCAUGAAAUCCUUUGUUUGGCAUUAAAGAAGCAUUAGAUCUCCUUAUUGCAAAUGUCAAUCAAACGAAAUUUAGUACAGCUGAAAUUUGGUUUUUAAGUAGAUUCUUGAUGAAAGUCAUUGGCUAUAGUAAUUUAGGAUAUAUGAAAUAAUUAAUCUGGCACACAAAGAUUUUUUGAAUCUCCUUUAUGAUUUCUACUAAUUAACUUAGCGGCGCUAGUUAACAUACAUCUUAGUAUCAUCUAUAGAGUCUCCAUAAGUGCUGGCCAUGUAUAGUUUGUGAUGCUAGCCAUAGAUUCUUUUUGCCAUGGCGAAGCAGAAAUUUUUCUUCUUCAUUUUCGGAACAGAGACAACCAGCAAAAUUUCAGAAGGUACAUCGUAGAGAAGAGAAUGGCACCGUUGUGCGGGGGAAAACAUGGCAAAAUCUCGGAAAACAGUUCAUACAUGCCAUUAGAGUAGCCUAGGAGUGCGACAGGGUUGCAGAACAUGUCUAUUGUGGCCGAUGUAUCUUUUGGAGUGAAUAAUCAACUAAUUUGUUAGACAAUUAUAUAGAUAGUCAAGAACUUGUUUCCAUGAGACAUGAGUAUGAGACACGGUGAUUAACUUGGAUAUUUUCAACGUUCACCCUCGAGUAAAGAAAAUUUCUUUAUGUUGUCAGGGUAACCUUAAAUUAUUCAAAUAACUCAUUUUUCCCAUGCAAGUGGGAAACGUUUAAUAUGAUCAAUAUGUUUGAAAGAGUUUGAUAAAAAAGAAGACUUAACCAUCCAUAAAUAAAUAAAACUCCAGUGGCAACUUAAAAUACCAAUGCACAAAGUCCAACCAUCAAAGUGGAGCCUUUCUUUGUUAGUUUCUUUACUAAAUCAAACCUUCAAAAGUCGUGGUUGCAUGAUGUAUGACAAUGGAGUCCUUUAUAUUAGUGAUCCUUUCACAUUCUAUUUCCGCUAGCAAAAGUGGAGUUGGAGUUCAAUGGAUAUUCUCCUCACGCCCUCCGGAUCGCUCAUGGAAUUUUAAUGGUAAGUUCAAUACUAUUCUGAUUACAUUUUUUUAAAGUUUAAUUUUGGAGAUAAAAUAUUAGUUUCUUAAAAAUUUCUGCAUAUGAUUUAAAUUUGAAUUAUUUUUUCAGUGAAAUAAGAAAAACAAAAGCUUUAAACAUAUGUUGCAGACAUCACGGACGUUAUCAUUGUGUCACUUUAUAAAAAAUUAAAAACAGAAUUUUGUGUAUUAUUAAAAAUACUCCAAAGUUUUUUCCAUCCAAAAAAAGAAAAAAAAAAUACCCCAAAGUGAUUUACUAUGAUAUAACGCACUAAAUAAUAAUAUUAAAUUUUAAGAGAAUCGAUCACACACUUCUAUGAUGGAAAUGUAAAUCUCUUGCUAUUUCCUUUAGUCUUAUUAACACGAUCUUCCGAGCUCGAUUCAUAUGGAUUAGGAUUUUCAUACUUUUUUUGUAGUUUAUCUCUUUGAACAUUCUAAAUAGAUCGGAUUGUAGUAGGUGGAAAAAAUGUAGGUUUAGUGCCAACUUACAACUAAACGUCAUCCUUUAUUGCAGAUCUCAAAGUUCUUUUUGAAGUUGGUGUUGGCUCUGUGUUGCUGGUUCAACUAAAACUCCACCAUGGAGUGUUUAGCCCCUGUCAUUGGUGAGACUUUGCGUUUGAUGUACGUCUCAACGUUCUCAAGAGUCGCUAAUGCAAUAAAGUUCAAAUCAAACGUCAAAGCUCUUAAUGAUUCACUCGAGAGAUUGACAAAGCUUAAGGGUAACAUGAGUGAAGAUCAUGAAACUUUGCUGACCAAAGAUAAACCCUUGAGACUCAAGCUAAUGCGUUGGCAAAGAGAAGCAGAAGAAGUUAUCUCUAAAGCAAGGUUAAAACUUGAGGAACGGGUUUCAUGUGGUAUGUCAUUGAGAUCUAGGAUGAGUAGGAAACUUGUCAAGAUUCUCGAUGAAGUGAAAAUGCUUGAGAAGGAUGGCAGAGAGUUUGUCGACAUGCUUUCUGUGGAAUCUACACCAGAAAGAGUUGAACAUGUUCGAGGGGUCUCAGUUGUUCAUCAAACAAUGGCGUCAAAUAUGUUGGCCAAAUUAGAGAUGGUUUGAUAAGCGAUAAAACCCAAAAGAUUGGUGUUUGGGGCAUGGGAGGAGUAGGAAAAACGACAUUGGUCAGGACGUUGAACAACAAGCUUCGGGAAGAGGCUGCUACUCAACCAUUUGGCUUGGUGAUCUUUGUAAUAGUUUCGAAAGAGUUUGAUCCAAAAGGAGUCCAAAAGCAGAUUGCGGAGAGACUGGAUAUCGACACCCAAAUGGAAGAAAGUGAAGAGAAGUUGGCAAGAAGGAUUUAUGUUGGACUGAUGAAAGAGAGAAACUUUCUUCUCAUUCUUGAUGACGUUUGGAAACCCAUUGAUUUGGAUCUUUUGGGCAUUCCACGAAGGGAAGAGAAUAAAGGUUCAAAAGUCAUUCUGACUUCCAGGUUUUUAGAGGUUUGUCGCAGCAUGAGAACAGAUCUUGAUGUUAGAGUGGACUGCUUACUUGAAGAAGACGCUUGGGAAUUGUUUUGCAGAAAUGCAGGGGAUGUUGUGAAGUCAGACCAUGUUAGGUCAAUUGCAAAAGCCGUUUCACUUGAGUGUGGUGGAUUGCCUCUGGCUAUCAUCACAGUCGGAACAGCUAUGCGGGGAAGUAAAAAUGUCAAGCUGUGGAAUCAUGUCUUGAGUAAGCUAAGUAAAUCAGUACCUUGGAUCAAAAGCAUUGAAGAGAAGAUCUUCCAGCCAUUGAAAUUGAGCUACGAUUUUUUGGAAGGCAAGGCAAAGUUUUGUUUUCUCCUUUGUGCUUUGUUUCCUGAAGACUACUCUAUUGAAGUUUCAGAGCUUGUAAGAUAUUGGAUGGCUGAAGGAUUCAUGGAGGAACAAGGUUCCCAAGAGGAAUCCAUGAACGAGGGAAUCGCAAUUGUGGAGAGUUUAAAGGAUUAUUGUUUGUUAGAAGAUGGUGCUCGUAGAGACACGGUUAAGAUGCACGAUGUUGUCCGUGAUUUUGCCAUAUGGAUCAUGUCUUCCUCACAAGAUGAUUGCCAUUCCCUUGUCAUGUCUGGUACAGGUUUGCAAGAUAUUAGACAAGAUAAGUUUGUUUCUUCUCUUGGAAGGGUUUCUUUGAUGAACAAUAAACUAGAAAGCCUUCCUGAUCUCGCAGAAGAGUCAUGCGUCAAAACCUCAACCUUACUGCUACAAGGAAACUCUCUUCUAAAGGAAGUACCCAUUGGAUUCUUGCAAGCAUUUCCAGCUCUUCGAAUCUUGAAUCUAAGUGGGACUCGCAUUAAGUCAUUUCCAAGUUGCUCUCUUUUGCGUCUUUCCAGUCUUCAUUCUCUCUUCUUAAGAGAAUGUUUUAACCUUGUAGAACUACCUUCACUAAAAACCUUUGCCAAACUUGAGCUACUUGAUCUCUGUGGCACACAUAUCCACGAAUUUCCAAGAGGGUUGGAAGAAUUAAAGAGCUUCAGACACCUUGACCUUUCACGAACACUUCACCUUGAAAGCAUUCCAGCGAGAGUUGUUUCGCGGUUAUCAAGCUUGGAGACACUCGACAUGACAUCAAGUCAUUACCGCUGGAGCGUGCAGGAAGAAACACAAAAGGGGCAAGCAACAGUUGAAGAGAUAGGAUGCCUCCAGCGUUUACAGGUUCUUUCUAUUAGGCUCCAUUCUUCUCCGUUUCUUUUAAAUAAGAGAAACACUUGGAUCAAAAGAUUGAAGAAAUUUCAACUUGUCGUUGGCUCUCCUUACAUUUCGCGUACAAGACACGACAAGAGGAGGCUAACAAUAAGUCACCUCAACGUAUCACAAGUAUCCAUCGGGUGGCUGUUGGCUUAUACAACCUCUUUAGCACUAAACCAUUGUAAGGGGAUCGAAGCAAUGAUGAAGAAAUUGGUGAUUGACAACAGGAGUUUCAAGAAUUUGAAAUCUCUGACGAUUGAGAACGCUUUCAUCAAUACAAAUUCUUGGGUUGAGAUGGUAAACACUAAAACUUCAAAACAAUCCUCUGACAGGCUAGACCUUCUUCCAAAUUUGGAGGAACUUCAUCUGCGUCGUGUUGACUUGGAAACCUUCUCAGAACUACAAACACAUCUCGGGUUGAGGCUGCAAACACUGAAGAUAAUCGAGAUCACCAUGUGUCGCAAGCUUCGAACACUACUCGGCAAAAGAAACUUCUUGACUAUCCCAAAACUGGAGGAGAUAGAGAUUAGCUACUGCGACUCAUUGCAGAAUCUACACAAGGCUUUGAUAUACCAUGAACCUUUCCUACCAAAUUUACGUGUCUUGAAACUGAGAAAUCUUCCAAAUCUUGUGAGUAUAUGCAACUGGGGAGAGGCUUGGGAAUGCCUGGAACAAGUGGAAGUGAUUCACUGUAAUCAGCUGAAUUGUUUACCCAUAAGCUCUACAUGUGGAAGAAUCAAGAAAAUAAAAGGAGAAUCGAGUUGGUGGGAGCGUUUGGAAUGGGACGAUCCCUCUACUUUAGCCACUGUUCGACCUUUUUUCAAUCCAGUGGACGAAUUUCCUCUGCUUAUAUUAUCAUAACGGAUGCAGCAACUCAAAUGCUAUAAGAGUCGAUAUUCUAGACUCACCCUAAGAGUGUUUACCUUCUCUGUUUCUCUAUUUUGUUCUUUUCGUUAAUUUUGUUUGAAUUUGUGCAAAACUAAACAACUAUGUUAUGUCAAUGCAUAUAUAUAUUUUGUGAGUCAAGCUUAUGUUGCAUUCGUUAGUCACCAUUCCCCAAGGACCAAGGUAAUGUAUAAUAACCUCAUGCAUCUAUUGAACCAUUGGCUCUUUAUAUCAGUCACAUAUAGCUAGAAAAUGUAAGUUAAUUAUAUAGACAAUGGACUAGUUGUCUUACAAUAGUUGGCAAUGUAAAUUCAUAUGAGAAAGAAACAUUGCUAUAAGGUCAAAACAAACCAAGAUAGUGACAAGCUCAAGCUGAAAACAAUGGCAGCAGUGAAAAAUGCUUUGUCAAUAUCACCUCAUUGAUCGAAAUGCAAGCAAAACAAAUCCCUUUCCUCAUUGACACUACAAAAUGUAGCAGGAAACAAAAGGCUAUACCAAAAUUGCAAUCCGAAACCUAACUUAUGUCUAGCCACAUUAAUUCUAGUCCAAAGCAACAGAUCUCCUAGCUUUAUGCAUUCCAAAACCUAAAAGGAACUUGAAGCAAAUGCAGAAAUAAUACAAUACCAUUUGAAUCGAAUGAUAUGAUCAUUGACCCUUCCCUGUAGCUGCCGCCAUGAACUGUGUGUCAAAGACAGUCUCGUCUUUUCCGAGUUCCCUUCAUUGUUAUUGAACAAAACACUGAAAGCAACUCAUGUUCUGACUACCCAAUAUCGAGUUUAAUAUGGAAACUGAAUUUAGAGUAACAGAGUCCACCUCACUUAGUCACUGGGACCUUUACAGAAUCUGAAACAACUUUUUUCUUCUUAGAUUUCACAUGACACAUUGCGAUUUGCGAGUGUCAGACACCGAAUCGAUCAAAAAGAGAAUUUGGUACUUACCUUUGGGCUUUGGGUAAUUUAGGUAAAAGUAAAAAAUCCACUUUCUGAAAAGAAUCUAUCGUCUGAAAAUGCCAAGUUGCCGACGUUUACUGUUUUACCGACACAUGCUGUUACUUUUUUCUUUUGGCCUACUCGUUAAGUCUUUAUUAGCUUAUAGAAAUAGUUCUCAUUUAUGAUUUAAUCUUUGAAAUUACCGGUAUAGCACCUAUGCCUGGGCAUUCGGUUAACCAUUCUAUUUCGGUUCGGUUGCGUUCGGUUUCGGUUAGUUUGGAUAUGGUAAUAUAAUAACCAUUCGGAUAUUUAGGAAUUUCGGUUCGGUUCGGUUCGGUUUGGAUAUUUAAAUAGAUAACCGUAACUAACCAAACUUUUAUCAUGUUCGGUUUGGUUCGGGUUUUUACCCAAAAUAACCGAAAUUUACCGAAUAUAACCGAAACUAAGUUUAGCUUUCAUUGUUGAGUGAAAAGGAAAGGAAGAGAAGGAGUUGCAUAUAUUAUAUAAAGGCUAGGAGAGUUUUCUUUCCACUAAACCAAAGGAGAUGGGUUGACUGAAGGAAAGAGUGCGGCUGCUUCUAGGCAAACCUCCUUGGCUGUCUCUGCACCCUCUUAGCUCUUAAGGAAUUCUGAAACCUAUACACGUUGUUGAGGCUUGUUGAAUCAGACGAAAUAGGACAUCGGUGCCGGUACUCGAUUCUCUUUCGGCCGGUAUGUAGAAUCGUCGGAGCGAGUCCAAUUCAACAGGCGUGUAACUGGUUGAGCAAAGGACUGCAACUCAAUCGUCCUGAUCGAGCAACUAGUCGUCCUAUCUAUCCACCUCUCCAAACAAAUUCUAGCUAUGAUCGACCUUUCGAAUGAAGAAGGCAGUGGAUUGUGAAUCCACCAUGCGCGGGUUCAAUUCCCGUCGUUCGCCCAUCAAUCAAUAAAUGGACCAUUUGUUACGGAGUCAUCUUUCGCUUCAAUACCUGGAACUGAGACGGAUUCGGACUUCUAGUUAUCCGCCAAGGAAAUGCCGGAGGAAUUCUCAACUGAGAGAAGAGAUGCUCCUGAUAGAUGGGAUCCUGUUCCUACCAAACUGAUUAACCGAAAAAAAUACAAAAAAUAAAUUACAAAAAAAAAGAAAAAUGCUAGAAAGAAAAAUAAAAUUUGAUUCAAUUUUGUAAAAGAGUAUUUAACUUCGACAAAUAUAACAAACAAUAUUUGGAUAUUUUGAUUACUUAAAGUAUUUGAUUGUUUUGAUUCUAAAAAUAAUUAAUAUUUGAGUUUAUAAUUAUAGUUUUGGAUAUUAUUUUUGGGUAUCUUAUAGGUUUUUGGAUAUUUCGGUUAACCGUUUGGUUAUCGAUUCGGUUUGGUUCGGUUUUGGUUAGUUUGGAUAGGAAAUUUUACUAACCAUUCGGUUAUUUUAAAAACUUCGGUUCGGAUAUGGUUCGAUUUUUUUCGGUUCGGUCGGUUAUUUGGUUAGCGGUUUUUUGUCCAGGCCUAUGUGUAAACCAUAUAUUAGAUCAUGAGUCAUAAAAACAGAGUACACACUUUUUGUUGUAGGUACUACUUGACAACAUAACUUUUUCACUUUUGACAAAAAAAUAAAAUAACUUUUCAACUACUACAUAGAAUAAAAUCUAGCUAUAGUUAUUUCCAACAUACAAUUAAUGAUUAAAUUCUUCAUUUUUUUUUUUUUUUUUGUCAAUAGCUUUAGUUAAAUUCUUCAUCCAAACCAGUCGAUAUAGUAAUGUAGUUGUCGCCUACACAAUUUGUGUAUGAGUUAGUUAAGUACAGUAAUAUUCACAUCUGAAAUUCAAUAUUUUCUUGGUCGCAUCUGAAUUUCAAGAUAUAUGGAACUCUUUAGUAUUAAUUGUUUCCUUUAGAUUUAGAUUUAGAUUUUUAAAAAUUUUAAACUACCAAAUUUUUCAAACUUAAAAAUAAAUGCUAUAAUGUAUAUGAGAAUCAGAAAAAACAUAAAUACAAAUGUAAGGAUGGUUUGACUUCAUCCGAGUUAUUGGAAGAAAUGGUUUCACAAACAAAUUCAAUAACGUAAAUGAAAAUUAAAUAAAAAUUGUAUUUGACAUAUGUACAAAGGGACAUAUUCAAUUAAUUUGCUGAAAAAAAGGAAAUAAAUAAAGCAACGGAUGAGAUCGCACUAGCUCGGCGAAUUCAGAUCUAAUCAACGGCCCUACUUCACUCAUCUCUCUCUCUGUGAACAAAACCAAACAACAGAAAUAGAACAAGUAGCAAGCGAGCGACGGGAGAGCAGAACGGAGAGACACAUCGCCGUUUCUAAGCUAAACAACCAGAUAGAUAAUAAUACAAAGGUCUUCUUCUUUUCUCACAAAUUACUUCAAAAUCUGGACUUUGUUCUCUAUGAAAUUGCUAAACCCAAAGUUUGAGUCUUUUAUGUUUUUCUUUACUGAUAGUGUUUCACUAUUUUGUUGUUUAGCUCAAAUCAUUGCUUAAUUUUUUCUCUUUGUAACAACUUUGCUGUUUUCAAAAUUGAAAAAAAACCCAUUGAUUCACGGGUUUCAAUCCUUUUCGAUUUAGUCUUUAUAUACCCAUUUAAUCAUUUCAAACAAAUAAAAAUAAAGAUCUCUGAGAAGAAAAUAAAAAUCAUUUUUUUUUGCAGGUUUGAUGCUUAUAAUUGGCGUGAAAGAGACAAAUCCAGAGAGUGUGUAAUUAGGUACGAGAAGAAUUUCAGCUAACUUUUUUAGAGAGAAAAAAUAACAAUAGAUGGUUGGGGAAAUGACGAACAAUGGAAGAAUCCGGCCAUCGUUUCCGGUGAAAGAUCUGACUAGUAAUGAAGGAUCUGAAUAUGGUGGUCCCGUUGAGUUUACCAGAGAAGAUGUUGAAACUCUUCUUCAUGAGCGAAUCAAGUACAAGAGCAAGUACAAUUACAAGGUCUCUCUCUUUUUUUCUCUAAUCUUUAUGUUUGGUUUGGUGUCUGAAAUCGAGAUCUCUCACUUCAUGCAAUCGAUUACAUAAGCAAGUCUAUCAAAUGGGUUUUCUUUUCUUGUAGUUUAGUCUCGUGCUUCUUGAAGUUCCAAGUCUGAAUUGGAUGCUGUUUUUGCAGGAGAGAUGUGAGAAUACGAUGGACUAUGUAAAAAGGCUUAGGCUUUGCAUUAGAUGGUUUCAAGAACUCGAGUUAGAUUACGCAUUUGAGCAAGAGAAGUUGAAGAACGCCAUGGAGAUGAACGAGAAGCAUUGCGCCGACUUGGGUGAGUUUGUUACAAAUUUGCUUCUUCUUAUGAACAUUUGGGAUUUAGUAAGACUUAUAUUGUAUGCAUUUGUUUGCAGAGGUUAAUUUGAAAGUAAAGGAAGAGGAGCUUAAUAUGGUAAUCGAUGAACUGAGGAAGAACUUUGCCUCUGUUCAGGUGCAACUUGCCAAAGAACAAACGGAGAAAUUGGUAAGAAAACUGCUACUUCCAGUUAUAAGUAAGUUUCAUUUUCUGCGGUUUUCUAAACUUGGUAUUGUUUUGUGUAAGGCUGCAAAUGAAUCUCUUGGGAAAGAGAGAGAAGCAAGACUUGCUGUUGAAAGUUUACAAGCUGCCCUCACAGAAGAGCUAGCAAAAACGCAAGGAGAGCUUCAAAUAGCUAACCAGAGGGUGAGGAAGUCAGAAAUAUCCGUAAAGGAAAUGAUUAGUAUUGACUGACUUUGAAUGUUUUUCCGGAUUUUUUGUUCGUUCCAGAUUCAAGCGGUCAAUGACAUGUACAAACUCUUGCAAGAGUAUAACUCGAGCUUGCAGCUGUACAACAGCAAACUACAAGGUGAUCUCGAUGAAGCUCAUGAAAGUAUAAAGCGAGGAGAGAAAGAACGGACUGGCAUUGUAGAAAGCAUUGGCAACUUAAAGGGUCAGUUUAAAGCACUGCAGGAUCAGCUUGCUGCCUCUAAGGUGAUUUUUCUGCGUUCUUGAUCAAUAAGAGUAAACUUUUGUUUAAAUCAGGGUAUGACCUGUCUUGUUUUUGUUAGGUGUCUCAAGAUGAUGUCAUGAAGCAAAAAGAUGAAUUGGUGAAUGAAAUUGUAAGUCUCAAGGUUGAGAUUCAACAGGUCAAAGAUGACCGUGACCGCCACAUAACGGAAAUUGAAACUUUGCAAGCUGAAGCAACCAAGCAAAAUGACUUCAAAGACACCAUAAAUGAGCUUGAGGUUUUUCUUGAUGCAUUCCUGUAUUCUCUUCUUAAAAAUCUAUAUGGAGAUUAUUGUUUCUUAAGAUAGUGUAAUCUUUUUGUCCAGAGUAAGUGUUCUGUUCAAAAUAAGGAGAUACAAGAGUUGCAGGAUCAAUUAGUUGCUUCUGAGAGGAAACUGCAGGUCUCAUCGCAUUCUUGAGUUUUACAUAUAGAAACGAAAUGUAUAUGAAAAUCUCUAAAUUCUUGUUGCAUAAUUUUUUUAUUAUGAGUAGGUGGCUGAUUUGUCUACUUUUGAGAAAAUGAACGAGUUUGAAGAGCAAAAGGAAAGCAUUAUGGAGCUGAAAGGGCGCUUAGAAGAAGCGGAACUUAAACUCAUUGAAGGAGAAAAACUACGGAAGAAGUUGCACAAUACUAUACAGGUUAUGAUUUGUCAUUUGGUGUCCAUUUCCCUUGUGAAAUGUUGAGCAAGCUUGGCCGAUUCUGAAAUAAUGAAAUGUUACAGGAACUGAAGGGAAACAUCCGCGUAUUCUGUAGGGUUAGACCUCUACUAUCAGGAGAGAAUUCUAGUGAGGAGGCCAAAACUAUAUCCUACCCUACAUCUCUCGAAGCACUUGGUCGGGGCAUUGACUUGAUGCAAAAUGGUAUGAACAAAUCUUCUGAAAAAAGAUCAUUCUUUGCUAAAAAGAAAGAGACUCAUCUGUUGUUUGCUCUGGCCAGGGCAAUCGCAUUGUUUUACAUUUGAUAAGGUUUUUGUACCAAGUGCAUCACAAGAAGAUGUUUUUGUAGAGAUUUCUCAACUUGUCCAGAGUGCUCUUGACGGUUACAAGGUACUAUCUGCUUUAGCUUAGUUUAACUCACUGUUUGCUUAUGUCUUCAUUAAUCUAUUCCUCGAAUUCACACCGUAUAUUUUGGUAAUACUGUCUAACCGCUCAAUAAAAAGCACGUGAAUGAUGAGUAAUGUUAUGUUUCACUGCAUCUUCUAGGACUAAAGGUGCUAUUACUCAAUUUUCAGGUUUGCAUUUUUGCAUAUGGACAAACGGGAUCUGGAAAAACUUAUACAAUGAUGGGUAGGCCAGGAAACCCGGAUGAAAAAGGACUGAUUCCUCGAUGUUUGGAGCAAAUAUUUCAAACGAGGCAGUCUCUUCGAUCACAGGGUUGGAAGUAUGAGUUGCAGGUAACAAACCUCCUAGAGACUUAGAAAUGGAUGAUGUAACAUUCAUAGUAUUAUUGAUUGGUCUAUACCUAUAUCUAUCGUAUAGGUGUCUAUGUUGGAAAUAUACAACGAAACAAUUCGGGAUCUCUUGUCAACAAACAAGGAAACUGUGAGAGCAGACAAUGGCGUUUCUCCUCAGAAAUAUGCAAUCAAACAUGAUGCUAGUGGGAACACACAUGUUGUGGAACUUACUGUUGUAGAUGUUCGAAGCUCGAAACAGGUUUCGUUCCUCUUAGACCACGCAGCUCGAAACAGGCAAGUAUCUGUUUUGAAGAUUGGCAAUGAUUCCUUUAUUAGAAAAACCGAAAGCUGCUAAUGAAUCAAACUGUGUCUUUAUUUUUUUUCAGGUCAGUUGGGAAGACCGCGAUGAACGAGCAAUCAUCUAGAAGCCAUUUCGUUUUCACAUUAAAGAUCUCUGGAUUUAACGAGGUACUAAUUGGGUUUCUUACUGCAACAACAACAUUUGAUAGUCUGGUGUUUGUUUCUGCUAACCCAACACUGGGGUUAUCUUAUUUUUUUAUUUACAGAGCACAGAGCAACAAGUACAAGGUGUCUUGAACCUGAUUGAUCUUGCGGGUAGUGAGCGUUUAUCAAAGAGCGGAUCAACUGGUGAUAGACUGAAAGAAACUCAAGUAAUGUCUGCGAAAUUGAAUACAUACAUUUUUUAGAGACACAAAGAAAGAUUUAAUAUUAGGCUUAAUGAUUAUUUUCUUCUUACUGAAAGGCAAUCAACAAAAGCUUAUCGUCUCUAGGCGAUGUCAUAUUCGCCUUAGCGAAGAAAGAAGACCACGUUCCUUUCAGAAACUCAAAGCUCACUUAUCUUCUUCAGGUAAGCAUUUAAAAUCAUCAUUUGAACAGAAGCUCAAAGAUUCUGUGUUGUGAUGAAACUUUAUGAAAUUCUAUGAACAGCCCUGUUUAGGUGGCGACUCCAAGACGCUAAUGUUUGUGAACAUCACACCAGAACCUUCCUCAACCGGUGAGUCUCUGUGCUCCCUCAGAUUUGCAGCAAGAGUGAAUGCUUGUGAGAUCGGAACCGCACACCGUCAUGUUAACGCCAGGCCAUUAGAUUAUCGCUUGAGCCUUGGAUGAGAAUUCUCCUCGGAAGCCAGACAAAUAAAGUUAUGUUUAUACCCAAAUGCGGUCACUACUUGAUGUUGGUGCUAAAUCUGUAUAUAGCUUGUAUUAGCCUUUAAGGGUCUGUUAUCUUUUACUCUUGUCUUGGAUCAGAAGGAUUAGUGUGUUGAAAAAAUCAUAAUGUUCUGAGACCAUUAACCGCAUCAUUUCAUUAAGGGAGAUUUACUCAGAUGUUAUACAUUUUAUAUGAAAUUACCAGAAACAUACAAAUUUUUUUUUUAUUACUAUCAUAAUUCGGGUAUAUUUUUUAUACCCAGCGUGCCUCUGUUAAACGUUACAGAAAAAAACGUAAUUAUAAAGAAUGCCACUGCCACGUCAGCAAAGCCGCGUCGCCACGUCAGAAAUCGCUGACGUGUAUUAAUGAACUCAGCCGUCGAGCGAUAUAGCGGCAGUGACGGCUGAGUUACGGUAUGUUGCGGCUGAUUUAAGAAAAAAGGCUGAGUUAUGAGCAAACGGCUGACUUACGAGUAUAACCCAGCCUGGAGUUACGGCUGACUUACUGAAAUCUGUCUGAGUUAUGAUAAAAUGGCUGACUUUCGAGCAUAACCCAGCCUAAGUUACGGCUGAGUUUUCACCCGAUGGUUGAUUUGUCAAAUUUUUGGCUGAGUUAUUGCUUCGACACGGCUGACUUAACUUUCUCCGGCUGGCUGAGUUAUCAAAGACGGCUUAGUUAUGGGAUGACGUUACGGCUGAUUUAUGUUCGAGUAUCAUAAAUCAGCCGUAAUGAGCUGGAUUAACGGAAAACUCGGCCUUAUUAUGGCUGACUUAGUAGCGAAAGAUUAAUUACUAGAAUAGCAUGCAAUGACGGCCGACUUAUUAAACGACACGACUGAGUUAAAUAUUUUUGGUUGAGUUACGACAGUAAACGGCUGAAUUUGGCUGCCGUUUUUUCGUUUUUUAAUUACUGUAAUAGUAUUCAUGUUGCGGCUGAGUUAAAGUUUUGUUUGAUGGCUGGUUUAAUUAAGCUGAUUUACAUUUUCGUUUGGUGGCUUACUUGCCACUUCAUCAAUUAAAAAAUGACGUGGAUGCAACAUUCCAUGUCAUCAUUCCAUGUCAUCAUCAUCAAAGGACAAAAAAAUAGGGCCAAAUUUUUUCAACUCGUCUUCUUCACCUGAGUUUAUCACAUCACCGGAACUUCCAAUUCCUCAUCGUCUUUCUCAUUCUUCUUCAAUUUCUUUCAUCCUUCUCCCGAUAUGGUUGAUCCGGUUCCGGUAAUUGGGUAUAAAAACAUAAAUACGUAUUUAACACCGAUGAAAGAGGGUGUAGAGUUGUGCAGAUAGAUGCGAAAACAACGCACGAAAAACUUGUGAAGUUGGUGCUCGAUGAUAAAGUUAGAGGAAAUGUUGCGUCUCUUAUUGUUUCGCUGCAAAUUUACAUGUCACGGCUGAGUUAUAUGCUUAAGGGAAGACGAAAGGUUCGAUCAAUUUACAUGUCACAGCUGAGUUAUAUGUUCCAGGGAAGACGAAAGGUUCGGUAAAAUUACAUUACGGCUGAGUUAUAUGCUUAAGGAAAGACGAAAAGUUCGGUCAAUUUACAUGUCACAGCUGAGUUAUAUGUUCCAGGGAAGACGAAAGGUUCGGUAAAAUUACAUUACGGCUGAGUUAUAUGUUUAAGGGAAGACGAAAGGUUCGGUAAAUUUACAUGUCACGGCUGAGUUAUAUUCUCCAGGGAAGACGAUAGAUGGGUGUAAAUUAUAUGUUACGGGUGAGUUAUAUGCUUCAGGGAAGACGAAAGUUUUGGUAAAUUACAUGUCACGGCUGAGUUAUCAUUCAGGGAAGACGAAAGGUUGUGUAAAUUAUAUGUUAUGGCUGAGUUACAUCACGUUACGGCUGAGUUACAUCACUUUACGGCUGAUUUAUAAUACAGAUCGGAAAGCAACAUUUUUUUGGAGAAGACAAUAUGAAAUUUAUUGGUCAAAUAACAACAAUCAAAUUAAGAUUCGUAAAAAUAUGUUUGAGGGAUACAUAGGAGAAAGACUAAACCGUAUGAAUCAAAACAUAGAUAGAAGUAGAAAUGUCUCCAAAUAGAUCGAUUGAGAGGAAGAUUAAACGAGAGACAUGUAAAAUCAAAGUAAAAGAGUAGCUAUUCUUGAUUUCAACUCAAACCUGUAACGAAUCAUGUAGAAUUCCAUAGAUCUCUUUGUUUUGGGUUUUGAUUUUUGAUGACUUUUUUCGUAAGCGUGGUUGCGAGUAGAUCUGACGAAGCUUUUGAUUUGGGACCCUAUGGCAAGCGUUGUGGCUGUGAGGUCUAGGAAGAUCCAGCCCAAUCCUGCAAUUUGAAGAUCUCUGUCAAUGUUGUACCCAAGUUAGUUGCAGAUUAUUAGAUCUAAAAGCUUUUCUUGGAUUUGAAGACAAAAAAAAAGAGAAGAGGAGAAAUGAUCUAAAAGCUUUUCUUUGAUUUGGAGACAAAAAAGAGAAGAGGAGAAAUAACGUGAGUUUGAGGAGUGUGAGAUUGGUGAUGUGGAUUAAUGACAUGGAUAAUCAAAUUUUUAUUUAUUAUUUUUAAUUAAAAACGAAUUAAAAAUUAUUAAUUAAAAAAAAAACUAAUGAAGGGUGUUAAUUGUAAUUACACAAAUGCUCAAAACAUAUGAGUAAUUUUUAGAAAAUGUAUAAUAUUCUAGUAAUAUUCGAACUUUUGAUUAACAUCUGAGUAAAUAUUUCUUAAACGUUAUCACGGCUAUUUGAGCAUUGCCGCGGCUGCAGCUAUCAGCACAACAACAUGCAUCAACAAAUAUCACCAUUAUCGUUCAUUUUAAGCAUACAUUAUCAUUCAUUUUGUUCUGAAUGAAUAUUAAUUCUACUAACCAUAAUGAAUUUAGGUCUAAUAAGAAAGGAAAAUAAGGAAAAAAAAUAAGUGGUUGCCGGAAUCUAGUAGUUACAUGAGAUCGACAGAUAUAUAGGUGGCCCGUAGUCAUCAAAAGAUAUAUAUUCGUUGGGCAAAUGGAUGGUUUUUUUUUUUUUUUUUUGUCGGCUGGAUUUAUUAUUUAUUGCAAAUUAUGAGAACUGUUACAUAGACGAUUCUACAACGGACAAUUCCUUCCGACCUUUAUUAGAUCCACAACUUCCUUCACCAAAAACAAAAUUGGAUGAUUUAAAAAUUUUAAUAUUGAGCUUGAAGUCUUAAUUACACAUGCAUCAUAUUUCUCGUUCGUUUAAUUUGACUAAUGUUUUUUUAGCGCAUUAAGAAAAAGUCAUCACUUUUUAGAUUGACUAAUUGUUUUUAUUUUAUCCUACAUUUCGAAUCGAUGAAUUUUUAUUUAAUUUUAUUAAUUUAGCCGGCAUCACUUUUCAGUUUUUAGGGAACGCUAGCUAGAACAGCAAAAGAAACGAAUACAGAACAUAAACAAACUCAACCUCUUAUUUAUAUAUUACUGCUAAAUACAUUAGCCUCAAACAUUCCAAAGCUAACAUUUUCAUAAAAACACAAGAUGAGACGUGGUGUUAACGUGUAUCAACAACCACACUCAUAGGCUUUUUGAGGGUUUUGUUUGGAAUUUAGUAGUAAGAAGGGAAUGAAGGGAUCUGGAAGGGGCAAACAUCAACUUGCGGGAUUUUGCAAAUGUUAGGCAAGUUCUUAGCUGUCUGGUAAAUUUUCCUGACUUUCAUUGGUUGGUGCUGCUGUCCCUGGAGUCUAACGGCCUUGGCAGCUUGUUUCAAGGUGGGGCAAACGCAAUCUGGGUCUUCUGGCGAAGCUCGCUGCAGCACUUCUGGAGUAGCGAGGGUCUCUGCGGGUUCUCGAUGUCGUCUUCCUAAUCGAACUCAUCGUCGAGGGAAGGACCACCACCAUGGCCUUGUCUCAUUUGCUUGCGCAUCAAUCGCUGGCAAGCUCUAAGGUGUUGUUCUUUCUGAAACUCCCUCUGACAUUUCUGUCUUGGGCCUAUGGGGUUGCUGGCGUCAUAGUUCGACGACAGUGCGGUAGAUGGAAGCGUUGGUGAGGAGGAAGCAGAGAGCGAGAGAUGUGCAGACGAGGACGAGUUUGUUCGCCAUUUUUUGCUACUAACUUAGGUAUAUUUUUUGUUUGAGUGAAGAGUGAAAUGAAGGGGUUAUGGGUAUUUAUGGACAAGUGAGGAGUUUGGCAUGGAGAUCACGUGUAUGAAUGCAUGCACAGCAAUAAAAAAAUAAAACAUUUCAUGCAUGUGAUUAUGUGUUAUGUGAGCGCGAAAACACCUCCAAUUUGAUUAUGUGUUAUGUGAGCGAAUGCAUGCACAGCAAUAAAAGGUUGUUUUCGCGAUUAGGUGUUGGAAACUCAAAUUGGAGGUGUGACAAGUCAUGGACAACACCUAGUCUCCGAAAGUUGCACAUAUUAAGAGCAUCUCCAAUGGUGAGAGUCCCCCAUGGGCUCUCACCAAUUGUUUAAACAUAUUUUUUUUUGAAUUUUUAGAUGAGAACUUGGGGUUUUUUUUUUUAAUUUUCAUAGUCUAAUGGUAGUUUCUCUUGUGGGGUUCUUAAAAUUUUUUUUUUUUAAAAUAUUUUGAUUUUGAUGUAAUAUGAUGUUUGGUUUUGAUGUAAUUUGAUGAAUUAGGACAAAGUAAUUGGUGUAAUUAGUGUUUGGUGUUUCAAGAGUUCAUAAUCACAUCAAAAACUUGUCAAAUGCAAAAAAUAGAUUCAUGAUCUACACAUAUUAAACUUGUCAAAUGCAAAACAGAGAUUCAUGAUCUACACAUAUUUUGAUUUGAGUGUCUUGUCUCCUACUUGGCCUAUACAAGACAGAUUUGGUGUCUUCUACAUCAAAAACACAUUCAAAACAAAGCACGUUCAAAUUUAAUAGCAUAGACAAUUCACAAGCAACAUUGAACUUGCCUUCUCCACUGCCUUUCUCCUCUUGGCUUCUCCAUUUGCAGUUCUCCAUUUAUACUCAACAAAAACAGAGAGAAAUAAAGCACAUUAGCAUAAACAAUUCACAUUCAAAAACUAUAUAUUGAUUCAACAACCUAAUCAAACACAACCAACCACACUUUCUAAUUUCUCAACAACCAACAAAAUUGUUAGGCUACAAACGUUUAGAAAACGGAAUCAAAACGUCCAUGAGCUUCUUGAAUCUCUCUUUAGUGCUCUCUUCAAUCUCCUUCAAAAGCUUCUCAUUCCCUUCCUCUAAUUUCGCAGCCAAAGUCUCUAACUCAACUUGAUAAGCUUGUUUCCUCUCUCGAGACCUAGCAGCGGAUUCACGGUUCUUGAUCAUCCUCUUCUGUCUUUGAGCUGCAGCUUUAUCCAUUGCCUUCGUCAUCACUCUCCCUCUCUUUCCUCUCAUUCCUCCUCCUCCAACCAUUGAUCCUUCAAUCAUCUGAAACGAACUGUGUUGCUGCGGCUGAGACAUCAUUGGAAAAUCGAAUGUAUAGCUACCGUCGUUGCCUCCGUCAUCACUCUCCCUCUCUUUCCGUUGUUAACGUUGUUCCGAUCCUUUGUACCAAAACGUGAAGCUUGAAGUUGGUUGUUCUCAGGGCAGACCAUAGGAGUUUAACCUAGCAUUGCCAAACCUGUUAUUUAGAUUAGUGGAUUAGUGGAGUUCACAAUUAAGAAACUGAUUCCAAACAGAAAUAAAGACCUUAAUUCAAGAGCAGCAACAUCAUUAAACUCAGUAUAUGCUUCUAAGGUUAAUAAACUGAAUCAAAUACACCUAGAACAUUACAAUCAAGUACUUAUCAUACAACUAGGCAAGUUAUCGUAUCUCUGCUUCUAAGUUAGUUUCCACGUUUUACCACAAUGUUUUAUACAUAGGUUCAUACAUAUAAAGCUCUCAUGAUUUAGAAUCAAACAAAAACUACCUUUCGAUUACUCCAUCAAGGCAUGAUCUUCUUCCCAAGAAGCAAGAUGCACACACUCACACUAUCACCCACUUAAAGAUCUUGUUCAACACUAGAAAGUAACUUUUCUUUUGACUACUUCAGAAGCAGCUGAAAGAUAUGAUUACAACAACAAAACCCAGCGUUUUUCCAGCAAAUUCUAAAAUGAUGGAACACCCAAGAGAGAAAAAAUAGCAUCUUGCGUGAUGAUAUCAAAGAGUAUCAUCUCCAAACUAGUUUGAGCAAGUUUCAAAAAUCAGUUUGAUCAUCUUCAACCUAAGCUACACAAGAUCAAUUUGCAAAUAGUAAACUUAAAAUUCCCACCUCACAAACAUAUCUACACACAAAAAUUCCAUGAAACCUUAAGGAACCCCAGAAACAACAAAACGAAAACCCUAAUUAUGACAACUAAUUGCGCAAAUCUACACACACAAAAUUGGAGGAUUAACGCAGACAACAAAACACCACCCGAAGCAAGUUUUCCAAUUUCAUGGAGAAAUUGAUAGUGGGGAAAGCUUUAAUCUAAACCUAAUUUAUUAUUUGAUGAUCGAGACGGCGGAUGAUGAUGAUCGAGACAUGAUCACAAAUCUCCUCUGUUUUUGCAGUGGGAGAGAAAGAGAGGAGGAAGAGAGAGAGAAAACACGAACGUCGUUUUUUUGUUUCCUUUCAUAUUAAACGCAUUGACUCACACGACGACACGUCAGCGGCUCUCUCUGAUUCUCAAAUGUCUCUCAAGAGAAUCGGUUCUUUGAUUAUUUAGUAGUUUUGAUUUAUUUUAAUUGCAAUUAAACAAGAGAACCCCACAAUUUUUACUUGAAAACCUUGCUUUGGAGAUGCUCUUAUUAUAUCAUGAAAAAACAAAAAAAAAGUCCAAAUAACUAUAAUUUUUGGUUAUUAGUUAUUAGCAUAUACAAGAGUUAGUAUACAUACUUGCAUAGUCUAAAUGUGAUGUUUUGUAUAUUUAUACUAGCAUUUUUGCAACACUUUGGUGACGGGUGGGUAAAAAUGCUUCUGGGUUAAUCAGAUAUCCGACCCGUUUUUUAAAAUCCUUCACAAAAAAAUUGUUGGAUCGGAUUAUAUUUAACCCAACUCAUACACCGGAUAUUUCAUAUUUAAUAAUUUAGAUAUUUAGAAGAUUUGAUUAAGAUUUAGAAUUAUGAUUCUCCUAUUAUCUUUGUUUGAUUUGUUUUUAACUGUUUUGAAUCAUCAUAGAAUACAUAAAAGUAAAAAAAAAACCAAUUUUUUUUUCUGCAUAUACUGUGAUUCGAAAUUUUUAAAACGGACAUAUAUUAUCUAAUUGACGAAAAUGUGUGUUCAACGUUCUACAUCGAUUAAAAUAUUUAGAUAAUGAUUCAGAAUCAUAUCAUAAAUAAGAUCAACAUUAAUAAAAUAAAUGAGUUUUUUAGCCAGACGGGUUUGGCGGGACGGGUUUUUGAAUCAACAAAUAAUAAAAAAUUAAAAUAUCAUUAAUCUGCCGCUUCAAUACGGAUUAAAUCUUUUUUUUAAUACCACCAAUAUUAGACAUAUUAAAUCAGUCUCAUUUAGAAAAGAUUGUAUAAAACCAAAAAUUGUCCCGUGGUAUAAUGUUACUUAAUAACAAUAUUUAUAAAAUUUAAAUAUCAUUAACAUGCCGCUUUAAUACAUAUUAAAUCUUCAGUUUAUUAAAAUAUAAAUGUCUUAGAGAAUGAUAUGAUUUGUAAACUUUUAUAUAUAAUAAAUAAUCAUUAAAUAUUAAAAUAAAAACAAAUAACGGGACGGGUUGAGAAAUUACGGAACGAGUUAUAUUUCGGAAAAGAUUUAUAUGGCGGACGAAUUUGAAUCAAUAUUUAUAUACCGCUUUAAUACGGGUUAAAUCCUUAGUAUAUUAAUAAUUGUCUCGUGGACUCUUGGUAUACCGUUACUUAAUAACAAUUGUAAACAAUAAUAUAAAUAAAUAUGUUAUAAGGAGAUACAAUUUACAAAAUAUUUUUAUACUAACUUUAAAAUUAAAUCAUCCCGCGAUGUACCGCAGGUUAAAAUCUAGUAUAAUAUUAUAACUUCAAGAAAUCGCUAUUUUGGAUGAACAAGAAAUUAAAACUUUUCCAAAUCACUAGCUCCCGCGACAUGUCAAUCAAUAUUGUUUUGUUCAUAAGUUUUUUAAUAAACAAUACUGUAUUUGUUAUGACAUCUCCUAGUUCGAUCGGGCCUGAAGUAUUGUCUGGUUUAAUUUGGUUUCGGUUUAGUUCGAUUGGUUAAUUUGAUAAAAUCUAAAUUUGAAAUCGAUGUAUAUAUUCUUUUUUCUUUAUUUUUAUUCAGAAUGAAUUUGCAUCUACUAAUCAUAGAGUAGGCUUUAGUAAAUAGGAGACCAGUACUGGUUUAAUAGGACGGCAACAUCAGUAAGCUAGUUAAGUAGUUGCAUAAAAAGAAAUUAAGUAGAUGAGUUUAGUAAUUACAUCGAGGAAUUGGGAAUGAGAUACGUUCUUGCCACCAAAAAGAGAUUCCAAAUUGGUAAGGGCCAUAUCUUCGUUGGGCAGUUGAGAAUAAGUCUUGCCUGAGUCAUUUUUUCGAUCCUUAUUUGGAACUUGAUAAACAAACCUCUCAUUUAUUACGGUGUAUAGUGCUAAUUACAUUAGCCUCAAACAUCCUAAGCUUACAGUUUUAUAAAACACACACGAUGACUGUGUAUAGUAUUAACAUACAUCAAUAGCCACACUCAUGAUCAUCGUGCUAGGGCUUGGAAUCUAGUAGUAAGGAGGGAAGAAAGGGAUGGUGCUCUGGAAGGGACAUUCACCAACUUGCUGGAUUUUGCAAACGUUAGGCAAGUACUUAGCUGUCUGGUAAAUUUUCCUGGAUUCGAAUGGUCCGUGCUGUCCCUGGAGUCUAACAGCUCUAGCCGCCUGUUUCAAGGUGGGGCAAACGCAAACUGGCUCUUCCUGGCGAAGCUCGUUGCAGCACUGCUGGAGUAGCUGGUGUCCCUGCUGGGGGCCCUGUGGGUUCUCCAUGUCGUCUUCGAAAUCGAACUCAUCGCCACGACCUUGCCUUGUUUGCUUCUGCAUCCAUCUCUGGCAAGCUCUUAGGUGCUGUGAUUGCUGGAACUCCUUCUGGCAUCUCUGUCUUGGGCCCAUGGGGUUGGUGGCGUCAUCUUCCUCGAACUCGACGACUGUGCGGUAGAUGGAAGCGUUGGUGAGGAGGAAGCAGAGGGCGAGAGUUGCGCAGACGAGGAAGAGCUUGUUUGCCAUUUUUUGCUAUUUGUGUAUGUUUUCUUGUUUUGGUUUGAGUGAAGAGUGUAGUGAAGGGUUGGUUUUUAUUUAUAGGUGACAAAGGAGAUUUGCAUGGCAAUCACGUGUAAGAAUGCAUGAGUGUGUGUGGAGUCAUGGAGAGAGAGAUUCUCUUACGUUGUUGUCGGGAUUAGGUGUUGGAAAAGAGUGACAAGUGACGAACAAUACCACUCCUAGGCUCCUAGCUCCGCUUCUGCAUGCUAUGUGUGAUUUGUAGCUCAUUUUCUGACAUGACAUUAUGAACGAUUAUAUUUUUUAGAAUUAAGAAGGUAAAACUUUUUUAGUAAAACACACUUUUAAUUUGGUUUUGAUCGAAUGAGAUGCGAAUUCAAUCUUUUGGUGGUAGUGCUGUUGGAAAUAUAGUUUUGUGAGCUUAAUCAGAAACUUAGAAUUUUAAAAUAAAUCUAUAUAGUCACGCAGGCCCGGCUCACUCAUCGGUAAGACCCGGUGCCAUACAAAAAAAAAUCUUAUCUUUAAUAAAAAAUUUAUAUAUAUAUAUAUAUAUAUAUAUUUACAAAAAGUUAUAUUUCAUAAAUUAUUUUGUAUUUUAUAGCUAUUUGGACAUGUUAUUUUUGUUUAUUAAUUUUGGGGCUCAAUAUUACCUUUUAAAAUAAAAUUUUGGGACCUUUACAUAUGGAUAUUGUAUAAAAUUUCAGCAUAAUUAAAUAAUUAAAUAAUAAAAAAACUAUGAAUUUGGACCUUAAAUUUGUUGGACCCGGUGCAAAUGCACCACUUGCACAUGCCAAUAACCGGCCCUGUAGUCACGGUUCACGAACCAUGUAAUAAAAUUUUAUAAAAUAUGAGGGAUAUAUAUUAAAAAAAAAUUCAUAAAUAUUUAACCCUCUAAAUGACUCGUACAAAAAAUACAAACAAUAAGUAAUUUAUCUCUUACAUAAAAUCAGUGGUAAUAAAUUAAAGUUAAGAAAUAAAACCGAAAUAUGUGAGACACACACAUAAUUAGAGGUGUCAAAAACUCAAAAUGCGUCAAAAUUAAACUUAUAGAUUUACCAAAACAUUAUAACCCAAACCGUGAACUACAAGUCAAAGAAAGUAUCAGGAACCAUGUUUUGACUGAAAAUUCAAAAGAGAGAGAUGAAGAGAAUGAGAAGAAGAUAUACAAAAUAUUUUACGAAUUCUGAAUCGAGAGUUAGUACAUCGACUAGUUCAAUCUAGCAAUUACUAUGUUUUUCAUUUCAAAGAGUUAGAAUGACUCAAAGAUAUGAAUGAUACAAAAUCCGAUCCAUAAGACCCAUUAUAUUCUCGAACUUUCCAACCACGUUUAGCUUAAACCAAAGUAAACCCUUUCAAAACCAGACUAAUGGCUCUUUCAGAAAUCUGCAUGCAGCUCUUAACCAGAACUAAUUGUGUUCCCAGAACAACAUCAACACGUUUUUACAAGACAUUGUUUUCUCUGUUUGUUUGAUUGGUAACGUUUUACACUCUUGACCACAAUGGCUAGCCCUUUUUUACAACAAUUGUUAGCGACUAUCGGUCAAACCGAUCAUGUAUGUAAAUUAUAUCAUUUUUGAAUUUCGCUUCCACGGGAUCAUAUCUAAUGUACAAUUAAAUGGCAUGUCUCUUCCACUUGAUGGCGUGCAAAUUCUUGAGGCCAAAAUAGAUAUUAAAACGCACGUGGUAGGGCGGUGGUAACUGGGACUAUGGUGUAAAUACAGACCAGCAUGAUGCUUCAUUCUUAUAGAGAACAAAUUUUCUGCGUGUUGGAUCACUUGGAACUGUGCUUUGGUCAAGUGUUUUAUCCAUGGUGUAGUUUGCCGCACACUCUUGCAAACAAAUUAUUCACCCUUGAAAGUAGUCAGCGCAUAGCCCUAAGUUUUAGUAUGUGUGCAGUGCCGGUCCGGUGAAAUCCGGGGCCAAAUACGAAAAGAAAAAUUGGGGUUUUUUUUAAAAGUAGAAACUGCUAAAAAAUUUUUUUUUGCUAAUUAUGGAGCAUUUAUAAUUUUUAUUUAACAAUUUUUCUUAAAUUUUAAAGAUUUUUUGCUAAUUAUGAGGCCUUUUUGCUAAUUGUGAAGUCUUUUUUUGUUAAUUUUUGAGGCCUCUUUUACUAUUUUGAAGCUUUUUUUUGUUAAUUUUUGAGGCCUCUUUUACUAAUUUUGAAGUCUAUUUCAUAAUUUUAGGGCCUCAAAAAAAAAAAAAAAAAAUUCUUCACAAAAUGAGCCUCGAAAAUUUGAGACCCAAUACAAAUGAUUCACCAAAAUGGGUGAAGGGCCGGGCCUGUAUGUGUACGCGCGAGUCGGUGACUGAACACCAAGUGCUAUACCAAGAAAGAAAUAGCUAGCAUGCAAAAAUGUUCUUUGCAUAUAUCAUAUCAUGCCUGGGCAUUCGGAUUUCAGAUCGGAUUCGGUUCGGAUUUAUUCGGAUUCAGAUAAUUCGGGUAGGAGAUUUUAUUAUCCGUUCGGAUUUUAUGACUAUUCGGAUCGGAUUCGGUUCGGAUAGUAUCGGAUUCGGAUCGGUUUCAGAUCGGUUUUGGAUUGUUUUUCGAGUAAAAAAAACUAAAAAAUGUUCAAUUCAAAUAAAAAAAUAGUUUAAUCUUACUAAAAUUUGGCUAAGUUUUCCAAAAAUAUGUAUAAUUUUAACAAAUAUAACUAAAAACUUUCUGAUAUCUAGGUUAUUUAGGAUAUUUUUGUUAUUUGUUAUAAAAUUAUAGCUAAAUAUAACUAAUAUUUUUGGAUAUAUAAUUUUAUUUUCGGUUUUCGGAUAUCCUUUCGGUUUUCGGUUCAGAUGUGGUUCGAUUCGGAUAAUUCGGAUAGGAGAAUUCAUUAUCUGUUCGGGUUUUGUGACUAUUUGGUUCGGAUUCGGAGCCAGAUUUUUUGGAUCGGUUUCGGAUUGGUUUUCGGAUUUUAUGCCCAGGCCUAAUCAUAUGGAUAAAUGUUUAAUACUUAAGAGUUGAUAAGAUGAUCUAGAAUUAGUUGCAAAUUAUCUUCACCAUAUCUUCAGUUGUGAGAAACAUAUAAUUGAUUGUUAGAGCCUAGAGGGGCACAGUCAUAGAGCAGUUUUUAAUUGGUAUUUUGCUUAACCUGUAAAUUUGAUUGAAAAAUAUUUCGGACCACCUAGAGAGAGCGUAUGCAAGUGAAAAUUAAACAUAAACAAAACUCUUAUUUAUUAAGGACUUGUGCUAAUUACAUUAAUCUCAAACAUCCAAAACUUACAUUUUCAUAAAACACACGAUGAGGUGUGGUGUUAACAUGUAUCAACAACCACACGCUCAUACGCUCGAUGGUUUUGUUUGGAAUCUAGUAGUAAGGAGGGAAGAAGGGGAUGGUGGUCUGGAAGGGGCAUUCACCAACUUGCUGGAUCCUGCAAACCUUAGGCAAGUACUUAGCUGUCUGGUAAAUUUUCCUGGAUUGGAAUGGUCCGUGCUGUCCCUGGAGUCUAACGGCUCUAGCCGCCUGUUUCAAGGUGGGGCAAACGCAAACUGGCUCUUCCUGGCGAAGCUCGUUGCAGCACUGCUGGAGUAGCUGGUGUCCCUGCUGGGGGCCCUGUGGGUUCUCCAUAUCGUCUUCGAAAUCGAACUCAUCUUCACCACCACGACCUUGCCUUGUUUGCUUCUGCAUGAAUCUCUGGCAAGCUCUUAGGUGCUGUGAUUGCUGGAACUCCUUCUGGCAUCUCUGUCUUGGGCCCAUGGGGUUGGUGGCGUCAUCUUCGUUGAACUCGACGACGGUGCGGUAGAUGGAAGCGUUGGUGAGGAGGAAGCAGAGGGCGAGAGUUGCGCAGACGAGGAAAAGCUUGUUCGCCAUUUG
rnacentral:lncRNA from 1 species